rnacentral:rRNA from 1 species
GACGAACGCUGGCGGCGUGCCUAAUACAUGCAAGUAGAACGCUGAAGGAGGAGCUUGCUCUUCUGGAUGAGUUGCGAACGGGUGAGUAACGCGUAGGUAACCUGCCUGGUAGCGGGGGAUAACUAUUGGAAACGAUAGCUAAUACCGCAUAAGAGUAGAUGUUGCAUGACAUUUGCUUAAAAGGUGCAAUUGCAUCACUACCAGAUGGACCUGCGUUGUAUUAGCUAGUUGGUGGGGUAACGGCUCACCAAGGCGACGAUACAUAGCCGACCUGAGAGGGUGAUCGGCCACACUGGGACUGAGACACGGCCCAGACGCCUACGGGAGGCAGCAGUAGGGAAUCUUCGGCAAUGGACGGAAGUCUGACCGAGCAACGCCGCGGGAGUGAAGAAGGUUGUCGGAUCGUAAAGCUCUGUUGUAAGAGAAGAACGAGUGUGAGAGUGGAAAGUUCACACUGUGACGGUAUCUGACCAGAAAGGGACGGCUAACUACGUG